UACGUAGGGGGGCAAGCGUUGUCCGGAAUCAUUGGGCGUAAAGCGCGCGUAGGCGGCCCGGUCAGUCCGUCGUGAAAGUCAAAGGCUCAACCUUUGAAUGUCGAUGGAUACUGCCGGGCUAGAGUCCGGAAGAGGCGAGUGGAAUUCCUGGUGUAGCGGUGAAUGCGCAGAUAUCAGGAGGAACACCAAUGGCGAAGGCAGCUCGCUGGGACGUGACUGACGCUGAGACGCGAAAGCGUGGGGAGCAAACAGG
rnacentral:rRNA from 1 species